GGAAGCACGCCGCGUGAGUGAUGAAGGGUUUCGGCUCGUAAACUCUGUUAUUAGGGAAGAACAAAUGUGUAAGUAACUGUGCACGUCUUGACGGUACCUAAUCAGAAAGCCACGGCUAACUACGUGCCAGCAGCCGCGGUAAUACGUAGGUGGCAAGCGUUAUCCGGAAUUAUUGGGCGUAAAGCGCGCGUAGGCGGUUUCUUAAGUCUGAUGUGAAAGCCCACGGCUCAACCGUGGAGGGUCAUUGGAAACUGGGAAACUUGAGUGCAGAAGAGGAAAGUGGAAUUCCAUGUGUAGCGGUGAAAUGCGCAGAGAUAUGGAGGAACACCAGUGGCGAAGGCGACUUUCUGGUCUGUAACUGACGCUGAUGUGCGAAAGCGUGGGGAUCAAACAGGAUUAGAUACCCCGGUAGAA
rnacentral:rRNA from 1 species